ACCAUUAUGCGCUUUCUAUGCUGGCGGUUUCUGAUGUGCCGACUCUAUGUUGGUAGUCUGAAUAUGUCGACUAUAUAUUGAUAAUUGUGGAAGUCCGAAUGACCAUUAAUUGGCAACUCUGAUAUACCGAUGGUCACUAGUUUGGAACUAAUAGAGUCAUCAUAAUCAGAGUUUGCUGAAGAAGUUGAGAAUAACUGACUGUUGGUUAGUCAACCGAUUGAUAGUCAGUGGCUUGUAUUUAUCAAGCCGAUUGAAUGUCGG
rnacentral:lncRNA from 1 species